rnacentral:rRNA from 1 species
GAUGAACGCUGACAGAAUGCUUAACACAUGCAAGUCAACUUGAACUUCGGUUUGGGUGGCGGACGGGUGAGUAACGCGUACAGAACUUGCCUCACAGCUAGGGACAACAUUUGGAAACGAAUGCUAAUACCUGAUAUUAUGAUUAUAUGGCAUCGUAUAAUUAUGAAAGCUAUAUGCGCUGUGAGAGAGCUUUGCGUCCCAUUAGCUAGUUGGAGAGGUAACAGCUCACCAAGGCGAUGAUGGGUAGCCGGCCUGAGAGGGUGAUCGGCCACAAGGGGAAUGAGACACGGCCCUUACUCCUACGGGAGGCAGCAGUGGGGAAUAUUGGACAAUGGACCGAGAGUCUGAUCCAGCAAUUCUGUGUGCACGAUGAAGUUUUUCGGAAUGUAAAGUGCUUUCAGUUGGGAAGAAAAAAAUGACGGUACCAACAGAAGAAGUGACGGCUAAAUACGUG